GAUCAAGCAAGGUAAGGGCGCACGGUGGAUGCCUAGGCACAGGCCGGCGAAGAAGGACGUGGUCAGCUGCGAGAAGCCGUGGGGAGUCGCACGCAGG
rnacentral:rRNA from 1 species